GGAGGGAUCAUUAACACGUAUCCAACGUUAUCAAACCCAAACCGUGCUCCUUAUUAUUUCCCAUCACAGAUAGGUGAUUAGUAGGCUAUAGAUGGAUUUUCAAUUUUAAUAUGGUAACAUAUUAAAAUUUGAAACUGCUUACAAUCUAUUGAUCCUUGAGAUCGGCUGAAUCUGUAUGGUGUAUCAAAGCCAUCUGGUUAUAUAUGCCAAACCGGUUUCGACCCGGAGCUAUAUAACCUUAGUAAACCCCCAAUUUUUUUACCCCUUUCAAUAUUAUUACUGACUUAACUUUUUCUUAAACUUAACAGUUUAGAAAAUGUAUACGAAACGCGAACAACUCUUAGCAAUGGAUAUCUUGGUUCUCGUACCGAUGAAGAACGCAGCGAAAUGCGAUACGUAAUGCGAAUUGCAGAAUUCAGUGAAUCAUCAAAUCUUUGAACGCAAAUUGCGCUCUCGGGAUAGACCUGGGAGCAUGCCUCUCUGAGUAUCGGUUUCAAAUCAUCUCGCUCAGCAUACUUCAUUGUAUGUUAUAUGCGGAAAAUGAGUGUCUCGAUUACUGAACAAAUCGAGUUACUUGAAAAUUAUACGAGGUUUCAGAACUCCCUAGUAGUGGUCUUAGCUGCGCCAUCUUAUACUUUUAUUAAUAUGAGAAGGCUAGUUCCUUAUAUCUUUGAUUGUGGUCCUAUUUGUUUAAUACAAUUGACGUGAUUGAUGCUUUAAUAGGAUUAAAUUGGCUUAAUUACUGGUGACGUGGAUAGAAUACCUUCGGGUGUUUCAAAACGUCAAUGCCUUUAAUUGAGUCCAUAUGUUCUAUUAUUCUUAUUCUUUCAUAUUGUUCAGCCAGUAUUAUAUAUAAUAACCCUAUCUAAUAGGUAUUUGAAUGAAAAGCUUAUGCUGUCUAUUAGGUUGAGCCGCUGAUAAUCCUUCUGACUAAACAAUCAUCUUAUUAUAUUAUUUUUAUACUAUAAUAAUUUUGACUUAGAUCUCAGAUGAAGCAAGAGGACCCCCUGAAUUUAAGCAUAUUAUUAAGGGGAGGAAAAGAAACUAACAAGGAUUCCCCUAGUAACGGCGAGUGAAGCGGGAAGAGCUCAAAUUGAAAAUCGGCAACCCAUGCGGGUUGUCGAAUUGUAGCCUAGAGACGUAUUGUCAGCGUGUGGCCCAGGUAUAAAUCUUUUGAAACAAGGUAUCAUAGAGGGUGAGAAUCCCGUCUUUGACCUGGAGAUCGCCGCGUACGACAUACGUUCAUAGAGUCGAGUUGCUUGGGAAUGCAGCUCUAAAUGGGUGGUAAAUUUCAUCUAAAGCUAAAUAUCGACGAGAGACCGAUAGCGAACAAGUACCGUGAGGGAAAGAUGAAAAGAACUUUGAAAAGAGAGUUAAAAAGUACUUGAAAUUGUUAAGAGGGAAGCGCUGAAAACCAGUCAUUAUCUAUAUCUAUCUUUACUAUUUGCUCUCUAAUGAGUGUUGCAGAUCAGAGCGCAAGCCUGGUCGGAUCUCGUAGGAAGGGUAAGUGGGUCCUGUAGGUAUAGAUGGGUCAGAAUCAAUUCGAUUCGCGGGUGAAGACUAUGGGAAAGGUAGGAUCUCCGGAUCUGUUAAGUCCUAUAGGCCCGACCGUGGGUUGGAUUGAGGAUGUUUAAUGUGCGCCGCAAGGUUUCGGUUGCUUAUUCCUGCUGGGUUAGCUUUUUUGGAGAACAAUGUUCUGCGGGAAGCGAAGCUUGGUACUGAGUGGGACAAUCAGAUGCACAUUCGCGAUUCUGACGAAAUGGUUUUCAUCGACCCGUCUUGAAACACGGACCAAGGAGUCUAACAUGUAUGCGAGUAUUUGGGUGGUAAACCCUGAUGCGUAAUGAAAGUAAAGGCAGUUUCGGCUGCUGAGGUAGGAAUCCGGGCAACUGGAGGCACUAUCGACCGAUCGUCACUUGUGAUAGAUUUGAGUAAGAGCAUAUCUGUUGGGACCCGAAAGAUGGUGAUCUAUGCCUGAACAGGGUGAAGCCAGGGGAAACUCUGGUGGAGGCUCGUAGCGAUACUGACGUGCAAAUCGUUCGUCUGAUUUGGGUAUAGGGGCGAAAGACUAAUCGAACCAUCUAGUAGCUGGUUCCCUC
rnacentral:misc_RNA from 1 species